GGAAAUGUAGCUCAGUGGCAGAGUGCUUGCCUAGCACUCAUGAGACCCUGGGUUCAAUCCCUAGCACCA
rnacentral:tRNA from 1 species